rnacentral:snRNA from 1 species
GGGCCAUCUGGCUGCAACAUCUGCCACCCCAUUGAUCACCAGGGUUGAUCUGGCUGCUCUGGCUGACUAGGCGGGCAUCCCCUUCCUCCUCCACAGCUCCAUAUGCUUCCCUCCCAAAGCAGCAUGCUCACUUGAAGAGGACAACCUCCCCCAAUAGCAGGGGAGUGUUCUGGGGUCAAGAGAUUUGAGUAGCUGUACGCCCCUUUUGGAACCUCCAGACAAGCUCUCGAGGUCCGUUUGGAAGAAAAUUUAGGGUAGUCAAGCUUCCAAGACUCCACGCAUGCGUGCUAAGUCCUUUCAGUCGUGUCCGACUCUUUGCAGCUCUGUGGACUAUAGC